GAGUGCCUCCACGACUUUCCACUUCUUUUUGCUCCUUUCGUUUUUAAAAAGCAAAAACCAAAGUAAAGAGAAGAGCAGAGUGAACACCCAGUACUUGGAGUAUUUUAGAUUGUGUAUGUAUUAUAUUUGUGCAUCAUUCAUUGUUACCAUCUAACUUGGAAAUCAGAGGAGUGUGAAAGGUAUCUGAGAUACCAGCUUAGAAAACAACUCUUUAGCUCCUCCUGGUGAUUAGGACACCACUAAACAAUAGGAUGAAGGAUCUGUCCCCAGGGCCGAAGUGAUGAUGUAUCUAAUAUUAUAUCCUAGAACAUUCACAGAGUAGUGCAGAAUGUCUUGAGCUGGAACAUCCCCAAGAGGCCAUAUAUAUAUCCCAGGGAUUUUACAGUGGACCUCACUAGGCCGGAGUAACUGUAAAGUCAGAUGGAUAAUGAGAAUUCAGGACGUUAGCCACACGUGGAGUGUGGCAAAAAGAAAGUGACCCAUUGAAGAAGACUGUUUUUCAGCUCUUUCAUCAGUUGCUGUUUCCAGGAGCCCACAGCUCCAAUUACUCAAAAGAACGUUGACUUUUUUUUUUUU
rnacentral:lncRNA from 1 species